CUGAAGAGAGUCCCGUGCAAAGAUGUUCUAUUGCGGCCGUGCCUUCCUUUGUCUUUCAUCAAGUUAGAUACCUAACACAUGCACAGAAGUCAGACCGAAGCUUCCCGACCAAAUAUCAUCCCUCGUUGAGAUCUGUAACCUGUACAUAUUAUAUGAGGGUAGACUAUCCACGGGAGAUCGUAUGAGAGGGUGGAACAUGAAUGUUGAUACAUCAUGUGUUCUAUGCCAAGAACCUUUGGAGACUGCAGAUCACUUGUUCUUUAAGUGCCCUUACUCAACGCAAAUUUGGGAAGCUUUAAUGAAAGGGGUGAUGGAGAGUCGAUUCACUAUGGAGUGGGAAAGGAUAAUUACAUUCCUCAGGGAAAGUUCAAAUUGGAGCAAGGUUAAACUCUUUGUAUCUAGAUACAUACUACAAUCGACAGUUCAUGCUAUAUGGAUGGAACGAAACCGAAGGAAACACAAUGAGCUUCCAUCCCCAAGUGUGGUCUUGAUCAAGAGAUUGGACAAGAACAUGAGAAACAGACUCACCAUUUUGCAAAGAAGAGGAGAUAAGGAGUUGGCUGAAGGAAUGACAUUUUGGUUUGGCUCUAGAUAGCUUUGAGAUACUCUUGAGUCCAUAGAUUA